GGGGAUAUAACUCCAUUGGUAGAGUGCUUGCCUUGCAUGCACAAGGCCCUGGGUUCAAUUCCCAGCACCA
rnacentral:tRNA from 1 species